UGCCAGAUCUUGACAUACGAACAACAAUCCAGAUGCUUGAUGGAGACAAACCCCUGUCUGAGGAGCAGAAGAAUGAAGUUAACACUCUUGCCAUUUCCUGGGACUUGCCACCUGUUAACACAGAAAAUCAUAAAUGGCUGCUCCAACAGUUACUCCAUCAUGAAGUGAUUGGACGAACCAUUAGGCAAACAAAGCAAAUUAGGAAGGGACUGAAGGACACCAGACUGUAGAAUCUGCUCCAAGACUGGCCUGAAACUGCUCUGAUCAUCUUCCCCGGCAUGCUGAAAGCAUUCUCACUGUCCAGGUACAGCCCAGCCUUAACUGGGAUCAGUGUCAAUGUACACAAGUCCAUGUUUAAUUGAAGCAAAUGUCUGUAACUUCAGUAUUUGGUAGGUUUGUAAAGAA